rnacentral:rRNA from 1 species
CCUACGGGAGGCAGCAGUGAGGAAUAUUGCUCAAUGGGGGAAACCCUGAAGCAGCAACGCCGCGUGGAGGAUGAAGGUUUUCGGAUUAUAAACUCCUUUUGUUAGAGAAGAUAAUGACGGUAUCUAACGAAUAAGCACCGGCUAACUACGUGCCAGAAGCCGCGGUAAUACGGAGGGUGCAAGCGUUACUCGGAAUCACUGGGCGUAAAGAGCGCGUAGGCGGGAUAGCAAGUCAGAUGUGAAAUCCUAUGGCGUAACCAUAGAACUGCAUUUGAAACUGUUAUUCUAGAGGAUGGGAGAGGUAGGUGGAAUGCUUGGUGUAGGGGUAAAAUCCGUAGAGAUCAAGAGGAAUACUCAUUGCGAAGGCGACCUGCUAGAACAUAACUGACGCUGAUGCGCGAAAGCGUGGGGAGCAAACAGGAUUAGAUACCCCAGUAGUC